UACGUAGGGGGCAAGCGUUGUCCGGAUUUACUGGGCGUAAAGGGUGUGUAGGCGGUUCUUUAAGUUUGGUGUGAAAUCUCCCGGCUCAACCGGGAGGGUGCGCCGAAUACUGAGGGACUCGAGUGCGGGAGAGGAAAGUGGAAUUCCUGGUGUAGCGGUGAAAUGCGUAGAUAUCAGGAGGAACACCGGUGGUGUAGACGGCUUUCUGGACCGUAACUGACGCUGAGACACGAAAGCGUGGGUAGCAAACAGG
rnacentral:rRNA from 1 species